rnacentral:tRNA from 1 species
GUUCUUAUAGUUGAAGUACAACGAUGGUUUUUCAUAUCAUUAGUCAUGGCUGUAAUCCAUGUAAGAAUA